rnacentral:rRNA from 1 species
UACAUGUGGGGCAAGCGUUGUUCGGAAUUACUGGGCAUAAAGGGUGCGUAGGCGGUAUGUCAAGUCACUGGUGAAAGUUUGCGGCCCAACCGUAAAAUUGCCUGUGAUACUGGCGUACCUGAGUGCGUGAGGGGGUUGGGGGAACGAGCAGUGUAGCGGUGAAAUGCGUAGAUAUUGCUCGGAAGGCCGGAGCCGAAGGGGCCCAACUGGUACGUAACUGACGCUGAGGCACGAAAGCAUGGGGAGGCAAACAGGGA